GACGAACGCUGGCGGCGUGCUUAACACAUGCAAGUCGAACGGAAAGGCCCUGCUUUUGUGGGGUGCUCGAGUGGCGAACGGGUGAGUAACACGUGAGUAACCUGCCCUUGACUUUGGGAUAACUUCAGGAAACUGGGGCUAAUACCGGAUAGGAGCUCCUGCUGCAUGGUGGGGGGUGGAAAGUUUCGGCGGUUGGGGAUGGACUCGCGGCUUAUCAGCUUGUUGGUGGGGUAGUGGCUUACCAAGGCUUUGACGGGUAGCCGGCCUGAGAGGGUGACCGGCCACAUUGGGACUGAGAUACGGCCCAGACUCCUACGGGAGGCAGCAGUGGGGAAUAUUGCACAAUGGGCGGAAGCCUGAUGCAGCAACGCCGCGUGCGGGAUGACGGCCUUCGGGUUGUAAACCGCUUUCGCCUGUGACGAAGCGUGAGUGACGGUAAUAGGUAAAGAAGCACCGGCUAACUACGUG
rnacentral:rRNA from 1 species